AAUUCGUGAAGCGGUUCUACAGCUUUGGAAAGUAAUUUCCAAAGUCAGCAUACUUGACAUCGACUGGAAAAUGCAACAGCUUUGUGACGUAUUUUGUUAUUCAACGAUGACGCACAGAAUGUCGGUUUGGCAGAUUUCAAAUCAAAAAAAUUUUAAUAUUGUUUUUGCAGUGAUUGAAGAAACAAAACACGAUAAACUGAUUUUAUUUCUAUUGUUUGUGUCGAAGAACGAUUAACCCUUGGUGCACGCAUUUGCAUGCGUCAUCGUCAUUCAUCGACAAACUAGCUAUGAAACAAAAGACAAUGUCAGCUGUCAAGUUUGAAGACAUUGUAAAUCACUAAAAAAAUAAUAUGUUGCAAAAAAAUAAACAUAUUCAUAGGUUCGAAAUUUAAAUAAUGUAGGAGAAUAUAAUAAUAGCACGAAAAAUCAAAACUCCAGAAUAGUGUUGGUGUUUUAAAGUUAUUUGUCAAUAAAACAUUACAAUUUGA